rnacentral:rRNA from 1 species
ACGGGAGGCAGCAGUGAGGAAUAUUGGUCAAUGGGCGGAAGCCUGAACCAGCCAAGUCGCGUGAGGGAGGAAGGUCCUAUGGAUUGUAAACCUCUUUAGUCGUGGAGUAAUAAUGGCCUCGCGAGGCCAGAUGCAAGUACACGAAGAAUAAGGAUCGGCUAACUCCGUGCCAGCAGCCGCGGUAAUACGGAGGAUCCGAGCGUUAUCCGGAUUUAUUGGGUUUAAAGGGUGCGCAGGCGGUCUCUUAAGUCAGUGGUCAAAUCGUGAGGCUCAACCUCAUCCCGCCAUUGAUACUGGGAGACUUGAUUUCGGUCGAGGCAGGCGGAAUUUGCCGUGUAGCGGUGAAAUGCAUAGAUAUGGCGAAGAACUCCGAUUGCGUAGGCAGCUUACCAGGCCGACAAUGACGCUCAUGCACGAAAGUGCGGGGAUCGAACAGGAUUAGAUACCCUGGUA